rnacentral:rRNA from 1 species
UACGUAGGGUGCAAGCGUUAUUCGGAAUUACUGGGCGUAAAGGGAGUGUAGGCGGGAAGGUAAGUUAGGAGUGAAAUUUACGGGCUCAACCUGUAACGUGCUUUUAAUACUGCUUUUCUUGAGUAUUGGAGAGGUAGGCGGAAUUCCAGGUGUAGCGGUGGAAUGCGUAGAUAUCUGGAAGAACACCAGUUGCGAAGGCGGUCUACUGGCCAAAUACUGACGCUGAGACUCGAAAGUUAGGGGAGCAAACAGG